rnacentral:tRNA from 1 species
GCGCAAGUGGCGGAAUUGGUAGACGCGCUAGUUUGAGGGGCUAGUGGGUAAAACCGUGGGGGUUCGAGUCCCCCCUUGCGCA